rnacentral:tRNA from 1 species
GGAGUUGUGACUCAGGGCUAGAGUGCUCGCCUAGCAAGUGUGAGGUCCUGGGUUCAAUCCUCAGCACCG